UACAGAGGUCUCAAGCGUUGUCCGGAUUUAUUGGGCGUAAAGCGCGUGUAGGCGGCCAGGUAGGUCCGUUGUGAAAACUCGAGGCUCAACCUCGAGACGCCGGCGGAAACCAUCUGGCUAGAGUCCGGAAGAGGAGAGUGGAAUUCCCGGUGUAGCGGUGAAAUGCGCAGAUAUCGGGAAGAACACCCGUGGCGAAGGCGGCUCUCUGGGACGGUACUGACGCUGAGACGCGAAAGCGUGGGGAGCGAACAGG
rnacentral:rRNA from 1 species